UGCCAGACUCCUACGGGAGGCAGCAGUGGGGAAUAUUGCACAAUGGGGGAAACCCUGAUGCAGCGACGCCGCGUGAGUGAAGAAGCGCCUCGGCGCGUAAAGCCCUGUCAGCAGGAACGAUAAUGACGGUACCUGAAGAAGAAGCCCCGGCUAACUACGUGCCAGCAGCCGCGGUAAUACGUAGGGGGCAAGCGUUAUCCGGAUUUACUGGGUGUAAAGGGAGCGUAGACGGCGACGCAAGUCUGAAGUGAAAUGCCAGUGCUCAACACUGGAACUGCUUUGGAAACUGUGUAGCUAGAGUGCAGGAGAGGUAAGUGGAAUUCCUAGUGUAGCGGUGAAAUGCGUAGAUAUUAGGAGGAACACCAGUGGCGAAGGCGGCUUACUGGACUGUAACUGACGUUGAGGCUCGAAGGCGUGGGGAGCAAACAGGAUUAGAUACCCUAGUA
rnacentral:rRNA from 1 species